rnacentral:rRNA from 1 species
UUACUAUGGAGAGUUUGAUCCUGGCUCAGGAUGAACGCUAGCGGCAGGCUUAAUACAUGCAAGUCGAGGGGGCAGCAAUGUCACCGGCGAACGGGUGCGUAACGCGUAUGCAACCUACCUACAUCAGGGGGAUAGCCCUAGGAAACUGGGAUUAAUACCGCAUAAUAUUGGAUAUGGCAUCAUAACCAAUUGAAAUAUUUAUAGGAUGUAGAUGGGCAUGCGUAGGAUUAGCUAGUUGGUAAGGUAACGGCUUACCAAGGCUACGAUCCUUAGGGGCUCUGAGAGGAGUAUCCCCCACACUGGCACUGAGAUACGGGCCAGACUCCUACGGGAGGCAGCAGUAGGGA